GAUGAACGCUGACAGAAUGCUUAACACAUGCAAGUCUACUUGAAUUUGGGUUUUUAACUUAGGUUUGGGUGGCGGACGGGUGAGUAACGCGUAAAGAACUUGCCUCACAGCUAGGGACAACAUUUAGAAAUGAAUGCUAAUACCUAAUAUUAUGAUAAUAGGGCAUCCUAUAAUUAUGAAAGCUAUAUGCGCUGUGAGAGAGCUUUGCGUCCUAUUAGCUAGUUGGUAAGGUAAAGGCUUACCAAGGCGAUGAUAGGUAGCCGGCCUGAGAGGGUGGACGGCCACAAGGGGACUGAGAUACGGCCCUUACUCCUACGGGGGGCAGCAGUGGGGAAUAUUGGACAAUGGAGGAAACUCUGAUCCAGCAAUUCUGUGUGUGUGAAGAAGGUCUUCGGAUUGUAAAACACUUUUAGUUGGGAAGAAACAAAUGACGGUACC
rnacentral:rRNA from 1 species